rnacentral:rRNA from 1 species
GAGACUCUGUGCGCGUGCAUAUCAAUAAGCGGAGGAAAAGAAACUAACAAGGAUUCCCCUAGUAACGGCGAGUGAAGCGGGAAGAGCUCAAAUUUGAAAUCUUAAAGGGUUUCCCUUUACGAAUUGUAGUUUAAAGAAGUGUUUUCUGUUGGAGUUUCGGUAAAAGUUCUUUGGAAUAGGACAUCAUAGAGGGUGAGAAUCCCGUAUUUGACCGUUACUUUCCAGCUGUGUGAUACACUUUCAAAGAGUCGGAUUGUUUGGGAAUGCAGUCCAAGAUGGGUGGUAAAUUUCAUCUAAAGCUAAAUAUUGGCGAGAGACCGAUAGCGAACAAGUACCGUGAGGGAAAGAUGAAAAGAACUUUGAAAAGAGAGUUAAACAGUACGUGAAAUUGUCAAAAGGGAAGCGUUUGACACCAGUGUUGUUUAGUUGAAAAUCAAUUCAAUAGUUUUUGAUUCUAAGUAGUAUUGACUUCAUCAGCUUGCUGCUUUCUUCUCAGAAAUUAUUGAAUGCACUUUUCAGUUAACAAGUCAACAUCUAUUUCUUUUGUUGUAAAAGGGUAAGAGGAAGGUGGCUUGCGCUUCGGCUCAAGUGUUUAUAGCCUUUUAUCUCUGCAAUCGGAGAGAUUGAGGUCUGCAGCGUAGAUCCUUCGGGGUUAGAUACAUUGGUGCUAAGCUAUAGCCUUGUAUAGACAACUUGUUGACUAUGCUCAGUCAUGUAGCUUACUCGCUGAUGCUAUUUUACCUACGCUUAGGAUGUUGAUCUGUAGUGCGUGCGC